GAGCCAUCAGCUGCACAGACGUUGAUCUCUGCUGAAGAAGAGGUGCCUGCAAGUACUUACCAGCAUCCUUGCAGGGGGAAGAAAAGAGAAGCACGUGCUUAAUACUGAAGAAUAGCCUGCUUGUGCUUGAUACAUUGGAGAAACAGUUCAAGAACACUUCAUCCUCCUGCAACUAUUUCCUGCACUUCUGCCAAGAAAUCACCUUCGACUUUGGGAGAGGCCUCAGCUGAAAGCAUCCAACAAAGAGAAUUCCUCAAGAGAUGCUGGCUGGGGGGUCAAGGUCCUUUCAUUGAGGCCCCUAACUCAGCUGUGCUGGUGAUCAGCCAUCUGUCAUAAAAAUAAGACUGUAGAUCAGCCUGGUCUGGGAUCAGGUGGGUCAGAAAACACAACAACAUAGUCUCAUAAAUGACUGAAAGAUUGGACAAAAAAAAAAAAAGGCAAGAAAAAUCCACCUCCUUCAUACUUAAACUCCCCUUUUUGCA